CAGGCUGUAGCGCAGCCAGGCAGCGCACCUGCACGGGACGCAGGAGGUCGGAGGGGCGGAGCCUCCCAGCCUGACCA
rnacentral:tRNA from 1 species